rnacentral:misc_RNA from 1 species
AAGUCGUAACAAGGUUUCCGUAGGUGAACCUGCGGAAGGAUCAUUAAUGAAUUAAAUCGAAAGGGAGUUGUUGCUGGUCUCUUCGGAGGCAUCGUGCACGCUCUUCUUUUCUUCAUUCAUCUACCCCCUUCGUGCACUUCUUGUAGGCCGAGAAAUUCGGUCUAUGUAUUUUAUUAUCACACCCCAUUAAAAACGUUUAAUGAAUGUUUCAAAUAAGAUUUUGGGGGGACGCGAGUCCUUUUCAAUUCUUUAUAAAUCUAAUACAACUUUCAACAACGGAUCUCUUGGCUCUC